rnacentral:rRNA from 1 species
GUGGGGAAUAUUGGACAAUGGGCGAAAGCCUGAUCCAGCCAUGCCGCGUGAGUGAUGAAGGCCUUCGGGUUGUAAAGCACUUUUGUCCGGGAAGAAAUCUUCCAGGUUAAUACCCUGGGAGGCUGAUGGUACCGGAAGAAUAAGCACCGGCUAACUUCGUGCCAGCAGCCGCGGUAAUACGAAGGGUGCAAGCGUUACUCGGAAUUACUGGGCGUAAAGCGUGCGUAGGUGGUUCGUUAAGUCUGCCGUGAAAGCCCCGGGCUCAACCUGGGAAUGGCGGUGGAUACUGGCGGGCUAGAGUGCGGUAGAGGGUGGUGGAAUUCCCGGUGUAGCAGUGAAAUGCGUAGAGAUCGGGAGGAACAUCUGUGGCGAAGGCGGCCACCUGGACCAGCACUGACACUGAGGCACGAAAGCGUGGGGAGCAAACAGGAUUAGAAACCCUAGUAGUCC